rnacentral:rRNA from 1 species
GAUCAUGGCUCAGAUUGAACGCUGGCGGCAGGCCUAACACAUGCAAGUCGAGCGGCAUCGGGAAGGUAGCUUGCUAUCUUUGCCGGCGAGCGGCGGACGGGUGAGUAAAGUCUGGGGAUCUGCCUGAUGGAGGGGGAUAACUACUGGAAACGGUAGCUAAUACCGCAUGAUGUUACGCGACCAAAGCGGGGGACCUCCGGGCCUCGCGCCAUCAGAUGAACCCAGAUGGGAUUAGCUAGUAGGAGAGGUAAUGGCUCCCCUAGGCGACGAUCCCUAGCUGGUCUGAGAGGAUAACCAGCCACACUGGAACUGAGAGACGGUCCAGACUCCUACGGGAGGCAGCAGUGGGGAAUAUUGCACAAUGGGCGCAAGCCUGAUGCAGCCAUGCCGCGUGUGUGAAGAAGGC